rnacentral:rRNA from 1 species
CCUACGGGAGGCAGCAGUGGGGAAUAUUGCACAAUGGGCGCAAGCCUGAUGCAGCGACGCCGCGUGAGGGAUAACGGCCUUCGGGUUGUAAACCUCUUUCAGUAGGGAAGAAGCGAAAGUGACGGUACCUGCAGAAGAAGCGCCGGCUAACUACGUGCCAGCAGCCGCGGUAAU